UUCAUGUUUGUGGAGUUUUUCAAUUAAGAAUUGUGAAUAAUUAUGAAUCAGAGGGGGUGUCAAAUGGACAAAAAGGGCCCUCCAAAGGGUCCAGUCCGGCCCCUGGAUAGCUAUGUGGAAAAUGUGGAACUCUCAGAGGAGGAGGCCAUAUAUGGUGAACCUUAAACUGUAUUUUAAGUUUUUGGUUUUAGUGUUUUUACUGAAGAAGAGAUAACUUAUGACCUGUCAUACACCAGAGUUGAGCAGCUUGACGCCUGAUGUCAGACCGGUGACUGAUGAUCCUGCUGAGGCAAUAUAUCAACACAUUACAGGUACAGCCGGCUUACCAGCAGCAUGGAAUAAUGGGAAAUGGUGCAGUGCCGCUGUGUGUCGGUCGGUGACAUUGAGAGCUGAAAAAGGAGCAGAUAGGAGGUCGACGGGGAGCGGACGUGGACGAAGAGGAGGUUCAAUGGAGACAUCAGGAUGAGUUCCGGAAGAUGACAGACAUAAUAAUCAUUUGUUACUGUUGCAGUAUAAAAACUGUACGGCCAGCUGAGGGUCAUCCUUCA